rnacentral:rRNA from 1 species
UACGUAGGGUGCGAGCGUUGUCCGGAAUUAUUGGGCGUAAAGAGCUCGUAGGCGGUGUGUCACGUCGGCCGUGAAAACCUGCAGCUUAACUGUGGGCGUGCGGUCGAUACGGGCAUCACUGGAGUUCGGCAGGGGAGACUGGAAUUCCUGGUGUAGCGGUGAAAUGCGUAGAUAUCAGGAGGAACACCGGUGGCGAAGGCGGGUCUCUGGGCCGAUACUGACGCUGAGGAGCGAAAGCGUGGGGAGCAAACAGG